rnacentral:rRNA from 1 species
AGAACGAACGCUGGCGGCAGGCUUAACACAUGCAAGUCGAACGCCCUCGCAAGGGGGAGUGGCAGACGGGUGAGUAACACGUGGGAACAUACCCUUUGGUUCGGAACAACGCCGGGAAACUGGCGCUAAUACCGGAUACGCCCGAGAGGGGAAAGGCUUGACCGCCGAAGGAUUGGCCCGCGUUCGAUUAGCUUGUUGGUGAGGUAACGGCUCACCAAGGCGACGAUCGAUAGCU